AACGAACGCUGGCGGCGCGCCUAAUACAUGCAAGUCGAGGGGCAGCAGGACUGUAGCAAUACAGUUGCUGGCGACCGGCAAACGGGUGCGGAACACGUACGCAACCUUCCUUUAAGUAAGGGAUAGCCCAGGGAAACUUGGAUUAAUACCUCGUAAUAUUUGAGAGUGGCACCACUUUCUAAUUAUAGCUCCGGCGCUUAAAGAUGGGCGUGCGACUGAUUAGGUAGUUGGCGGGGUAACGGCCCACCAAGCCUGCGAUCAGUAACUGGUGUGAGAGCACGACCAGUCACACGGGCACUGAGACACGGGCCCGACUCCUACGGGAGGCAGCAGUAAGGAAUAUUGGUCAAUGGACGCAAGUCUGAACCAGCCAUGCCGCGUGGAGGAUGAAGGUCCUCUGGAUUGUAAACUUCUUUUAUCUGGGAAGAAACCCAUAUUUUCUAGUGUGGUUGACGGUACCAGAUGAAUAAGCACCGGCUAACUCCGUGCCAGCCGCCGCGGUAAGAC
rnacentral:rRNA from 1 species